GUCUACAUUCAUGCCACCCCAAGCAAGCCUGAUCCCAUCUGAUCUCAGAAGCUAAGCAGGGUCGGGCCUUGUUAGUACUUGGAUGAGAGGCCACCUAGGAAGACUAGGUGCUGUAGCCA
rnacentral:rRNA from 1 species